UACAGAGGUCUCAAGCGUUGUUCGGAUUCAUUGGGCGUAAAGGGUGCGUAGGUGGUGAUGCAAGUCUGGUGUGAAAUCUCGGAGCUCAACUCCGAAAUUGCACCGGAUACUGCGUGACUCGAGGACUGUAGAGGAGAUCGGAAUUCACGGUGUGGCAGUGAAAUGCGUAGAUAUCGUGAGGAAGACCAGUUGCGAAGGCGGAUCUCUGGGCAGUUCCUGACACUGAGGCACGAAGGCCAGGGGAGCAAACGGG
rnacentral:rRNA from 1 species